rnacentral:rRNA from 1 species
UGAGGAAUAUUGGGCAAUGCCCGCAAGGGUGACCCAGCAACGCCGCGUGGAGGAUGAAUGUCGUAAGAUUGUAAACUCCUGUUAGAGGGGAAGAAUAGUACCGGUUGGACCGGUAUAUGACUGUACCCUCAGAGAAAGCCCCGGCUAACUACGUGCCAGCAGCCGCGGUAAUACGUAGGGGGCAAGCGUUGUCCGGAUUUACUGGGCGUAAAGCGCAUGCAGGUGGUUUUGUAAGUUGGAUGUGAAAGCUCCUGGCUUAACUGGGAGAGGUCGUUCAAAACUACAAGACUUGAGAUUGGUAGAGGAAAAUGGAAUUCCGGGUGUAGUGGUGAAAUGCGUAGAUAUCCGGAGGAACACCAGUGGCGAAAGCGGUUUUCUGAACCAAUUCUGACACUCAGAUGCGAAAGCUAAGGUAGCAAACG